AUGAACGCUAGCUACAGGCUUAACACAUGCAAGUCGAGGGGCAGCAUGGUCUUAGCUUGCUAAGGCCGAUGGCGACCGGCGCACGGGUGAGUAACACGUAUCCAACCUGCCGUCUACUCUUGGACAGCCUUCUGAAAGGAAGAUUAAUACAAGAUGGCAUCAUGAGUCCGCAUGUUCACAUGAUUAAAGGUAUUCCGGUAGACGAUGGGGAUGCGUUCCAUUAGAUAGUAGGCGGGGUAACGGCCCACCUAGUCUUCGAUGGAUAGGGGUUCUGAGAGGAAGGUCCCCCACAUUGGAACUGAGACACGGUCCAAACUCCUACGGGAGGCAGCAGUGAGGAAUAUUGGUCAAUGGGCGCAGGCCUGAACCAGCCAAGUAGCGUGAAGGAUGACUGCCCUAUGGGUUGUAAACUUCUUUUAUAAAGGAAUAAAGUCGGGUAUGUAUACCCGUUUGCAUGUACUUUAUGAAUAAGGAUCGGCUAACUCCGUGCCAGCAGCCGCGGUAAUACGGAGGAUCCGAGCGUUAUCCGGAUUUAUUGGGUUUAAAGGGAGCGUAGAUGGAUGUUUAAGUCAGUUGUGAAAGUUUGCGGCUCAACCGUAAAAUUGCAGUUGAUACUGGAUAUCUUGAGUGCAGUUGAGGCAGGCGGAAUUCGUGGUGUAGCGGUGAAAUGCUUAGAUAUCACGAAGAACUCCGAUUGCGAAGGCAGCCUGCUAAGCUGCAACUGACAUUGAGGCUCGAAAGUGUGGGUAUCAAACAGGAUUAGAUACCCUGGUAGUCCACACGGUAAACGAUGAAUACUCGCUGUUUGCGAUAUACAGCAAGCGGCCAAGCGAAAGCGUUAAGUAUUCCACCUGGGGAGUACGCCGGCAACGGUGAAACUCAAAGGAAUUGACGGGGGCCCGCACAAGCAGUGGAGUAUGUGGUUUAAUUCGAAGCAACGCGAAGAACCUUACCAGGUCUUGACAUCGAGUGACGUACUUAGAGAUAAGUAUUUCCUUCGGGACACAAAGACAGGUGGUGCAUGGUUGUCGUCAGCUCGUGCCGUGAGGUGUCGGCUUAAGUGCCAUAACGAGCGCAACCCUUGUUGUCAGUUACUAACAGGUUUCGCUGAGGACUCUGACAAGACUGCCAUCGUAAGAUGUGAGGAAGGUGGGGAUGACGUCAAAUCAGCACGGCCCUUACGUCCGGGGCUACACACGUGUUACAAUGGGGGGUACAGAGGGCCGCUACCACGCGAGUGGAUGCCAAUCCCAAAAACCUCUCUCAGUUCGGACUGGAGUCUGCAACCCGACUCCACGAAGCUGGAUUCGCUAGUAAUCGCGCAUCAGCCACGGCGCGGUGAAUACGUUCCCGGGCCUUGUACACACCGCCCGUCAAGCCAUGGGAGCCGGGGGUACCUGAAGUGCGUAACCGCGAGGAGCGCCCUAGGGUAAAACUGGUGACUGGGGCU
rnacentral:rRNA from 1 species